UCCAAGUCUAUGCUCACUCAGCUGCUCAUCAAGAAUAACAAGGUAAGUGACAAAGGAGGUAAGGAUGUCCUUGUCAAAUGUCCUAUGCUGUCACCUGCCAGAAAGCCCUCGGCAGUCAGCAUCCGAGAUGGCUCCCCACGCAGGAAUCUCUCUGAAGUGCUCUGUGAUCUCCACAACUAAAACAUAAUCUCUGGCCCCAGAGAGCUCUGGGGCUCUGAUCCCUUGUUCAGCCUGUGCUCCUGGUCAUCUUCAACCCCAGGACUGAGGCUUGGACAGGCUCAGGGGCAGCUGUCUGUGAAAAUCAGAUUGAUGCAUCUGAUUACAUGGCCUGUUAACAUCUGCAAAAAAUAAGAUAAAAUAAGAAUUAUUUACCUGUCACAGCUUUGAGACACCAUCACAAACUGGAGCUGACACCUCUUCUGUUCACCUUGGAAAGGUGCAGAGUGAAGAGCGGACCGUGACACACUUAAUAGAUUGCUGGGCAUUUACGGAGCUGCUUGUUACCCAGCUCAAGAGCCGUGUCCAACUGCUACAGCGUUCAUCAAAGACAAGAAGCCACAAGGAGCAAGUCAGUACUGCAAUUCAUUAAGGCAACUUGACCUCUGGGGAGAGGAGAAGAAAAAGGAACUAGCGGCAUUGAUUGCCUGUGUUUCCUGAAGUGUGGUGUUAUGGCAUAAAAUGACAUUGAAUCACAGGGUGAGAAAACCAUGCACUUCAGCUCUUGCUUGGCCUUUGAAGACGACAUAGGAAGUCUCUGCUGGUGCUAGGUGUCUUAAGCUUCUCUUUGACACCCUUUCCUAAUGCAAACAGAGUGGGCCUCAGGAUGGGAGCUUCUGCAGAUCAACAGAGAAGAAAUGAGUCAAUGAUGGUGCAGGUGAUCUGUGCAGUGCUGUGCAGGGGAUGGGUCAAAGCUGUGAUGCUGGCAUGCAACUAACUCACCAUUGUGAGCCAAUCACAAAAGCAGAAACUUGGCCAAGCUGAUAUCUUUCUAGAAAGAAAGGGACCAGCUUGAUGAAGCUUCUGCUUUUGUGACUGUCUUCUAAUGGUGAGUAUUGAGAAUUUCUUCUUAUAGUCGCAGCAGUGAAAAGGAACUUUUCAUCCAAAAAUUACAAAACAGAUUUAUGUUGAAAAUAAUGAGAACUUUGUUGGUGCCCCGGAAAAAUAUUUGAGAGAAGCAGAGAGUGAUUCCUUUUAUUGGGCCAGAGUGUAAAAGUCAGCUCAUUGGUCUCAAGGGAAGAAAAAGUUCUUUUCUUCAGUUGGCAAUUUGUUUUCAACAAAAGAUUUGGAAUGCCUUUUUCUUUUCUUUUUAAUAAAGGAAGGAUAUAGUUAGUUGACCAGGAAUUAGCUAGGGAUUAGGAAUCGGUUGGUGUGGCAAUAUUUCUACCUGCUUGCUGUGCAUAUCCUUGAAUUAACAACGGUCAAUAAUCAAAAGGGCAUUAAAACGUGAGUUGGGCUAUGGAGGGACCGCCCCAAAUCUACUUCUAUGUAGUAUUGAAUCCAGGGGCCUCACUUUGCCUCGCUGCAAUUCUGUGGUUUUUAAUUUAUGAUUUCCAGGAUCUGGGGUUUUUUUUCAAGCUCCCAGACUUGCUCAGGCACAUUGCAAAUAGCCGUGAUUUGAGAUGAUUUUCUUUAAUGCUGAAGCAGAUGAAGAAUCCAGGUUCUUUUUAGUGGCAAGCCUUGUUUAUCAGCAGCUAUACGGCUAUGGGCACAGACACAGGUAAACAGCACAGAUGCUGAGAGAGGGCUGGCAUCCAGACUCACAAGAAGGCCAGCAUCUGACCGAGACCAUCACGCCCAUGUGACAAAAGAUGUCACCACAGCCAACAGUUCUGACCACAGUGGCUUUUCACCUGCUUCGUUAAAUUUAACUCACACCGGCUCAGAGGACAAUUUGAUUAAUUCUGUAUCUCAGCAGAAACCAGAGCACCUCAGAAGAUCAAGGCUUCCAAAUUCUCCUGGGGGAACAGACGUCAGCCACUCAGCACAAAGGAAACUUCCUUCUCUGUAUGUCAGAGGAAGACAUAAUUGUGCCAUUUCCUUCUUGAAGAAGUUUACAAACAUUUGCAAGUUGUCAAAAAUAAUUAGUCUAAAAUUGUUUCAUAAACCAUGGAAUGAAACAGGACGUGCCUUGUUGAGAUCAAAGGGCUUCUGUUACCUUCUUGUAAACCCAAAUGAAAUUCUUUUGAAAGUAAACUCUUGGAAUUAGCAGUGGUUUUUGUGGCACAUCUAUGGCAGGGGGAGGGGAGCAGAAUGAUUCAGAUAGCAGAGUCCAAUGGAGAGCCGGGAGGAGUAAAGCCCUGUCCACAGAGAAUGGGAAUGGGUCUUGAACAGCCAUGAUGAUCUCUGCCAAUGGGCACAGGACUUCUUCAACGGGAAGCUCAGGCAUUCCACGAAACACUCGUUUCGGUGAUCUUGAACUUGCAAGAGUGAGAGUGGCAUGGACACUCAGAGUUCUACAAACAAAGUAAGAGCUUGGGCUUGUGAGUCAGUCAGACUAAGUUUCCAUUCCAGCAUGGCCGGCUCCUACAAGCAGACCCUGGAGAAGCCACUUCACCUCCGCGUCUCAGGCCACUCACCUCCAAAGACAGACGCAAACUCUGCCCCCCUCCUCGG